UUAGUGAAGGGAUCAGUUAGAUACUCUUUUCAUUAAUCUUUUUUAACUCAACAUCACCUCGAUCUAUGAUUUCAUGGACAAGAUGAUAGCAUCGCAAAAUGUGUUUUGGUUCUGUGGUGUGACUUGGGCUCUUUUGCUUGUGCUAUAGCUCCAGUACUAUUACAAUAUAGUGAAACUGGAUCAUUAAUAGAGGAAACCACUUCAAGUUUUAAUGGAGGAAACUACUUCAAGUUCUGUGAUGAAUUUCUUCAACC
rnacentral:lncRNA from 1 species